UCCCCAAGAGGAAGACAAUGAUACAUAGGACAGCGCCGAGCGCGCUAUAUAUUAAUGAGGAGCUGGCAAGGCUUUGAUAAGGCUGCAGAAUAAUCCAUCAGUGGGGAAGGAGCUUGUAAAACGGGAGGAACGUUUCAUGGGAAAACACCUGGGAAGGGUGUAACGACCCGGCAGCUAAACGCUGUCAGCUGCCUCUCCCCGCGUGUAAUUAGCAUCAGACAGGGCGCGCGGCUGGCCCGCGAAGUCCAUCAGCCCCGGGACCCAGCCUCACUCGCUCCACGCUGGCCCCACCGCGCUCCCGCGUUUACAGCGUAUUUAGCAAGCCGGCAAUUAAUAGCUCGCGUUCUUGGGCAUCAGAAACUGUUUAUCUUCUUCUGAACGUGCUCUCGCCGGAGGCUGUUACCUGGGAAAGGCAGGAGCCGCUGGCGUUUUCUGCCGCACUUACUCCACGGAGGCCGCUCCGCCAUUAGAUACAAUGCCUCAGAUGGCUACUUGAGCUUGAAUGCACCGUUAUUACAGGUGGCAUGCAUGCAAAUCUCCACUUUGCUGCUGUUUCUCCUCCCUGGAAAGCAUCCCAAAUGACUGAGGCAGAAACAGCUCCUCCAAACACGCCAAGCCACGACUAGAACACUUGUUUCAAGCGCCAGAUUGCCAAGCAGAGUCCCUCGACCCAAAAAGACAGCAGCUCGAUAGGUCCAGAAGAAAGAGAAACCAGCAAUGGCACAGACGGGUCCCUGGGCCGUCUGUCUGCUUCAGCAACCAGAUGGGCACCAAUCAGCAGCCGUCGUCCCAAGGUCUUAUGGGCACUUCACAAUGUUCUUGAGAAAAGCUACAAUAUGAACAAUGUUUCCCAGGUGGCACAGUUGGUAAAGAAUCUGCCUGCAAAUGCAGGAGACCUGGAUUCAAUC
ensembl:lncRNA